rnacentral:rRNA from 1 species
AUGUGUGCAGACAUGAUAGACCUGAAGAAAGCCAUGACCAAGAUCACGGAGCUGGAGGAAGAACUCAAGUCUACACUCGAUGGAUAUGAGGAGGAAAUAGCAACACUAGUAGAGAAGAAUGAUGAUCUGAAGAAGAAGCUGAAAGUGUUCAUGGGAUUUCCCGCAACUGGAGGAGAAGACGAAGAUUGCACUUGUCCAGAGAACUACAUCAUCAUCGACGACACCGACUCGGACCCAGACGAUAGCGAUGAUGACUAUGUUGAUGAAGCUGGAGCAGAUAUCAUGGAGUCUUCAUCGGAGCAGUUUUUCUAG